rnacentral:rRNA from 1 species
GCCCGUAGUUGGAUUUGAGAACAUUGUCCGCGUUUGCGCCCCUCGAGUCGGCUCGCUGGCUCUUGGGAUUGCGGAAACACAUUAAGGUGAUGUUCUACUCAAAUGCGGGACUGGUUGUCGGUCCGAUUCUCUUCAUUGAGGAAAGGACACCUACGGAUUCUCACACUCCAAAAGACACGCCCGCAGAUGUCACUGUGAGUAAAACAGAGUGUUCAAGGCAACCGACUGUGUUCGGUUGAAUGUUAAAGCAUGGAAUGACAAGGGAUCGACCACUUCGGCCUCUUUUUGUUGGUUUUCAAGCCUCAGUGCGGUAAACUGGUGCGGGGAGUCCCGCUUGGCUGUGUCUUUCGGGACCACCAAGCGAGCCCUCGCACAUCCGGGAUCAACAGGAGCACAGGGGGUCAUGAGUACUGGAGGGUGAGUGGUGAAAUACUGAGACCCCUCCAAGACUGACAUCAGCGAAAAGCACUUGACUAUUGUGCUUUCAUUAAUCAAGGACGAGAGAUAGGGGAUCGAAGAGGAUUAGACACCCUCGUAGUCCUUUCCUUAAACUCUGCAAACUUGGAUCGGUCAGCGCUCUCUUUCCUGACCCGAUCGGGCACCUCCCCCU